ACAUAAUGUUUAUAUAGGUGUAUUUUUAUUUUAAGUAAUAUAAAGCAUUCGCAUUCGCUGUGUAAAUGAUUCAGAUUUACUUUCUAAUCAGAUACAGAUCGGCUGCUCGUACUUUAUACAGUUAGGCAUAUGGCACGGAAAUUAAAUUACUCUAAUUAUUAUUUUAUUGGACAGAACUAUAGCUGCACCACUGAUCUGAAAACUAAACUGGACAGUGCACCAUAUGAAAUCAGCGAGCAAGUUUACGAGGCCAUUUUACGAGGAAAGAGGGACUGCUGGUCACCAAUUCCUUUCAAGAUAAGAUCAUUGAACUAUAUAUAAGUAAACUGGAACGAUAACUCCUAUGAUAAAGGCCUUUGUUUGGGUGAAGCCAGAUUUCAGGCGCUUAAGUACAGCCUGUUCGCAGGUAUAUGUAUACGAAAAUAAAUACACAAAAAUUUUUACGAUGUAUUUUUACUAAUUUAAUCCUUAAUUUUAACUUACUAAAGUACGUUUCUGGAUGUUUGAACUCCAUUAACAACCGUAUCUAAGAUUUUUCUACAUAAAUUGUAUAAUUUUGUCUCUGAAGUCUUUCUGGAAAGUCUAAAAACUCAGAAAAACCAUAAAUUUUCGCGCGGUUUAUUGCCGAGUUUCGUUUUGUUUGUUUCAUAUUUUGGCAGUUAAACAAUAUUUGCUUAUUUU